UCGUCACUUAGCAAUAUCAGGGUCCAGCAGCAAAAACCCCGACUAAUUCGGGGUUUUUUGUUAUCUGUAUUUUAGAUUUUUUAAAGUACAGGGUGCGCUUGGUAAAAUCGAUAGGGCUAUGUGCCCUUUUUUU
rnacentral:sRNA from 1 species